rnacentral:rRNA from 1 species
AUACGGAGGGUGCAAGCGUUGUUCGGAAUUAUUGGGCGUAAAGCGCGUGUAGGCGGUCUGUUAAGUCUGGUGUGAAAGCCCUGGGCUCAACCCAGGAAGUGCAUUGGAUACUGGCAGACUUGAGUAUGGGAGAGGAAAGCGGAAUUCCGAGUGUAGGAGUGAAAUCCGUAGAUAUUCGGAGGAACACCAGUGGCGAAGGCGGCUUUCUGGACCAAUACUGACGCUGAGACGCGAAAGCGUGGGGAGCAAACAGGAUUAGAUACCCUAGUAGUCC